GGAUUUGUCGGUUGGUCGGGCUUCACUGUCCGCACUGGCCUGAUGGAUUCCUACCUUCUGAAUAACCAGCAUGCUAUUAAUUUAGUGCGUUGGGGAAGCAGAGCUAUUACCUUGAAAAAUUAGAGUGCUUAAAGCAGGCUUUUGCUUGAAUAGAUUAGCAUGGAAUAAUAAAAUAGGACGGCAUGGUUCUAUUUUGUUGGUUUCUAGGAUCACCGUAAUG
rnacentral:rRNA from 1 species